CCAGGACUCGCACGCACGAGCGAGACUGCCCUCGGGGGGAGGCCUCCAGAUCCCUUCGCUGCCAGAUCCCUCCUCGCGAUCCUCCCGACGUCCUCGCGCCGCCGUCCUCUUCUUCUCUGCGACUCCUCUGUGCACGACGCCCUGACCGACGCCGGCGAGUCCUCGGCACUCCGCGUGCGCCUCGCAUCCAACGCCGGGGAGGAUCGCGUGACUCCGCCCGCGUCGUCGCCUCCGACGCUGGCCUCUCCUUCACCACCGUCCCUGCCGGCAGGGUCCCCCUCGUCAUGGCCUUCCUCGCCUGGGUGUACGUCACCAGCUGGCCAUAUGGCAGGACGCGCAGACCCGGGCGAUCCUCUCCGGCCUCCUUGAGAAGAGCUCGACUCCAGCCCGGCGACGACGAUGACCUGAUUCCUACCCGUGGACGAUGAUGUGCUCUGGCCCAACCGCAUCGACCUCAACAAGCCUCGUCAAGAAUCGUCACCGUGGGCUGCGCCCCUCUCUUCCUUCACGACCAGGAGUUGUCGAGGAGAACCAUCAACUUGAUUGAUUGGUUGUCUACUUGAAAAGAAAAGAAGAUGAAGACGAAUGAGUGGAUCUGAAGGAGAGAGGGCGAGAAGAAGAGGCGCCGUGUGUCUUGUAGUGGGUGAGAAUUGUCUAGCCGGCAAUGGAUUUCCAGCAAGGGUGGCAGAGAAAAAUCCAUGACGAGAUGAACACCACCACGACAGCAUCAUGAAUGUCAUCGAGUUCUCUUGGGCAAUAAAACUGCAGUCACUGGAGGGAGCAAACCAAAUGACCAUAUAUCUACUACUCAGAUCACGGGGGUUCUGGAGUCCUUGGCGUGUGCAAGUAUGCCCAACCUGCCAUAUCUCUAUGCUGCGGAUUUUAUCAAGGUCUUACAAGAAAAACAUGCAUCCAACACCUACGCAAAAAUGACCUCAAUAUUUAUGUCACAACAGCAUCUAAUGCAGAAGAAAGCACCUGGGGUACAUACUGCCCAGGAAUGGAGCCAUCGCCUCCUUCUGAGUAUAUUACCUGCUUAGGUGAUCUCUACAGUAUUUCCUGGAUGGAAGACAGCAGCCGUAUGUGCACUGCUUGUGCUAGGCGCCGAUCUGGAGGCCCCUGAUCGGAAGGGAAGCCACUGGAGCUGCUGCGGGAGAUGGUGGCGGUACGCUGGUAGAGCUUGGAGCAGACGUGGAGGGGCCGGACCUGCUGGUCCUUGAAGGUGCUGAAGGUGCUUUGAGAAAAAAAUCAGUUAGGUGAAUUCAUUACAGUUUGAAAUGAUCUAUAUGGAGGUCACAUUGUUUUUUAGGGUAUUAGUCCCCUGGUGAAGUGGUGGUCAUUAUCAAUGCUGCUGCAUUUUAAGGUAGUGGUCAAAAUGCUAGCUAGGAUAAAUUGGAAGGAGCCGAUCAUAGUUUUUCGGCUAUUACUGUAGAAAUUCAUGGUAUUAUCCUUGCUAUGACAGUGAUGUAUUUGCAUUGCUGCAUAAAUUCAUGGAGUGAUUCAUAUUUUCUUGACUCAUUUUACGUGUAUUGUUACUGCAAUAACGACACAACUAUUCUUUCAUCUAUGGUGUUAAAAAUAACGACGUGUAACAUAUAGAAGGGUAGGACUUUCAGUUUCUUAUUUGGAUUUUGCAACUUAACCAUGAAUGUGAAUGUGUAGGAAUAAUGCCAAAAUUACCUAACCGAAUUGCAAUAAGAUUUUUACGUUUAUUAUUUAAGUCAAACCUUACCACUAGGAGAUGAAAUGGUUGUUUUAGGUGUACAUGUACUAAGAAAAGGAACGGCUUGUGUUCCACGAUGGUACGUGCCGCAGUAUACUCAACGGAUGGCAGGUUCUUAUAUGCCAUAUGGAGAGGGAGAACCAGGUGCCUGAGGGACAUCGAGCUUUCCCAUGUCUUCUUCCUUCCAUUCAACGUUGUUAAGAUUUUGAAGAUUUUUGGCGAUCUGAACUCGUGUGACAUGGACCCUCUGCAACGGACUCUUGGCUUACAUCAACCAUUUUGUUGACCAAGUACCUGUAUUGCGGCAUGAUCCAAGGAGUGGAUCACUGCAUAUAUCCUGACAUGACUGGUCUGUUAUUGUUAUCUUCUUGGGAGUACUUGAGAAGGCGCGGCGGGGAAGGUGGGGACACGCCAUGGCAGAGGCCAGUGGCAAACCUACGUGUAAGCCCUGAGGUCCGGGGAAGGUAGCUUUAUUUGGCAAUGCCAAUGAUCAAGUUAGGGAUGCACAAGUCAACCAUGAGAUGUCGGAGACUGAUGUGGAUGCGCAAGGGCAGCGCUGGCCUCUGCCUAGAAGGGCAAUCACAGUGUACAGAGCUCUAGCAGCACUACGCCGUCAUCCUCUGCCUCACCCCGGCCGCAUGAAUUUCAAGAGAUGCAAGGAAGUAGGAGGAAGAAGAAAUGCAGGCGACCUCAUGAAAGUCACAGCAGCAAAGAUCCACAGAUGGAGAAGUCAGAGGAGGAACCAUGAUUUUUGAACAAGCAUUAGUUUGUGGCUCAUGGAUGAAGAUUGCAAGUACUACUUUGUAACUAAUUUAGCUAAUCGCUCACCAAUCUGUUAUUGUUAUCUUCUUGGGAGUACUUGGAAGGCGUGGCGGGGAAGGUGGGGAAACGCCAUGGCAGAGGCCAGUGGCAAACCUACGUGUAAGCCGUGAGGGUAUUCUUGCUGGCGUCGUCGCUAGCAGAGGCGCAUGGUCGACAGGAAGAGCCGGGGCAUUGACACUUUUCGUGCUACCAACACUACAUACCAGCCACAAAAACACAAUAACAGUUGGGAGGGCUGCUUUAUAUCCCUAGACCCCCACCCACACCUGACCGCCAUCUCCCUCUUUCCUCGGUAUCAUAACCUGAUGCGACGUUGGCGGCGCAGCAGUCCGGAGGAGGCCAGCAGUGCCGACGACGGCUCUGCGAUGGGGAAAGGUCGAUCAUUGCGGCACCAGCAGUUCCACGAUCACAUUAUAUCCGCGUGUUGAUGAGCAACAUGACUCUCCGCCCUUCCUCCCUCCAGGAAGAGACAUGAUCAUAUCGAUCACCAGUCAUGGAGUCAAGUGGUUGUUGUCGUCAAGCUAAAUGUUGGUGAGUGCCAAAUGAGAAGAUAUAUGUUCUAAUAUUCCUGAGCUGGACAUUAUGGUAAAAUAUUAAUUUUAGAAAUUUUGCCAAUCAUACCGGUCUGUAGCUAUAUCACAUUGCAAAAUUCCAUGAACAUGUGGUCCACAUUAUUUUUCACAUUGCAAAAUUCCAUGAACAUGUGGUCCACAUUAUUUUUCUAUUAUAUUUUUCCUGCCCAAGCGUGGAUGCAGGUGGAUGUGGGCGCCGCGGCUGCCACCAAGGAUGUAGGGGUCAUGCUACAACCGGUGAGGACACAAUAGGCACUUUUUUUUGGGAUGGAGGGAGUAUUACAUUCCUUGUAAUCGCAUGCUAUAUUUUCAGUGGGAAUUCAUUGACACAGUUCCUUACAAAAGUUGUAUCUUUGACAUAGGCAAACUGCUCAAGUGAUUAUAUCAUCCAUUCUGAUUUUGAGGGAAAUAUAUCCAAA